CUUUAAUGAGAGUUUGAUCUUGGCUCAGGACGAACGCUGGCGGCGUGCCUAAUACAUGCAAGUCGAGCGCAGGAAGCAGUUUAGAUCCCUUCGGGGUGACGAGCUGUGGAAUGAGCGGCG
rnacentral:rRNA from 1 species